rnacentral:rRNA from 1 species
AGUGAACGCUGGCGGUAGGCCUAACACAUGCAAGUCGAACGGCAGCACAGUAAGAGCUUGCUCUUACGGGUGGCGAGUGGCGGACGGGUGAGGAAUACAUCGGAAUCUACUUUUUCGUGGGGGAUAACGUAGGGAAACUUACGCUAAUACCGCAUACGACCUACGGGUGAAAGCAGGGGAUCUUCGGACCUUGCGCGAUUGAAUGAGCCGAUGUCGGAUUAGCUAGUUGGCUGGGUAAAGGCCCACCAAGGCGACGAUCCGUAGCUGGUCUGAGAGGAUGAUCAGCCACACUGGAACUGAGACACGGGCCAGACUCCUACGGGAGGCAGCAGUGGGGAAUAUUGGGCAAUGGGCGCAAGCCUGAUCCAGCCAUACCGCGUGGGUGAAGAAGGCCUUCGGGUUGUAAAGCCCUUUUGUUGGGAAAGAAAAGCAGCAGGUUAAUACCCCGCUGUUCUGACGGUACCCAAAGAAUAAGCACCGGCUAACUUCGUG